rnacentral:rRNA from 11 species
AAAGCCAGCCAAGGGCCUUAAAGCACCCUAUACCUUCUGAUCUUGGAAGCUAAGCAUGGCUAACCCUAAUUGGGAGGUAGGAUGGGAAGCCAUCAAUCAAUCCCAUGUGUUGUCAGUU